CUGAAAUUGUAACAAAGUUAUAAUUUACAAAUUGAUGUUUUUAGAUUAUGAAAAAUACAAAUUGGCAGUUUUAUAAAUUGAUUGACAAGAAAAAACCAUUGACAUUGUGGACCAGUUCCGAACAUGAUUGACAAAAACAAUUGACAUUAUGGACCAGUUCCGAACAGUGUUUGUUGAAAGCUGUCAUGGUGACAGUUUUGCGCAUUUUUGAUGAAUGAGGGAGGAUAUUUAAACUCUUGGAAAUCUCCUUCUCCAUAGUUUGAAAUUCGUAAUUGCGCUUUAGGAGUUUCAAAAAUCCAGUUCGUCUUUAAUAAAAAAUGUAUUCCCAAA